UUAUGGCCUUUAAAAGUAGAAACCCCUCCCAGAGUAAACCCCUGUUGUCUUGUAAUUUAACCCUUUAUAAACAUGAAACCUCUAAAACAACAAAAUCCUUUUAUCCCAAUACUGUUUGUUUAUAGCAUUACAAUUUAUACAUAAUCAAAGUCUCAAAAUUGUUUUUAUGGCAUGUUGUAUGAGAAUGCAUUUUAUGUUUAGAAUUCUGGGAGUUCAAAGGUCACAAGUACAAACUGCACUAAGAAAUGGGAUGAUGGUUGUGAAUGGACUUGUGAGUGUGUUGAUGACAAGAUAGGUCACCGUGGCCCAGUAGUUAAGGCGUCCACCUCGGGAUCAGGAGGUUGAUGGUUCAAGCCCCGUAGGGAGCGUUCGUGUGGGGGAUGUUUGUCAUGGGACUCAUUCCGAAAAAGCCUGUUCGUGAGCCGCGAGCUAGUUAAAUGAAUAGUUACUUACUUCUAUCCGCCUUGCAUAGAGAUGCCCACCAUGUGUGAACUUGCCAUCAAACUGGCGGCUGGUAAAAGAUGCUGCCAAACCCUGCUGUAAAAUCCCGACCUGUAGCCCCACACCAUCUCCCCUAACAACAAAGGGACCAGGACUUCUGCCCAUGACUACAGUACCAACAAAGAGACCACAAA